GGGCAUGUGGCGGAAUUGGUAGACGCGCUACGUUCAGGUCGUAGUCGGGGCAACCCGGUGGAGGUUCGAGUCCUCUCAUGCCCA
rnacentral:tRNA from 1 species